CAGAUUGAACGCUGGCGGCAGGCUUAACACAUGCAAGUCGAGCGGUAACAGGAGAAGCUUGCUUCUUGCUGACGAGCGGCGGACGGGUGAGUAAUACUUAGGAAUCUGCCCAGUAGUGGGGGAUAGCUCGGGGAAACUCGAAUUAAUACCGCAUACACCCUACGGGGAAAAGGGGGCGCUUGCGCUCUCGCUAUUGGAUGAGCCUAAGUCGGAUUAGCUAGUUGGUGGGGUAAAGGCCUACCAAGGCGACGAUCUGUAGCUGGUCUGAGAGGAUGAUCAGCCACACCGGGACUGAGACACGGCCCGGACUCCUACGGGAGGCAGCAGUGGGGAAUAUUGGACAAUGGGGGGAACCCUGAUCCAGCCAUGCCGCGUGUGUGAAGAAGGCCUUUUGGUUGUAAAGCACUUUAAGCAGUGAAGAAGACUCUAUGGUUAAUACCCAUAGACGAUGACAUUAGCUGCAGAAUAAGCACCGGCUAACUCUGUGCCAGCAGCCGCGGUAAUACAGAGGGUGCAAGCGUUAAUCGGAAUUACUGGGCGUAAAGCGAGCGUAGGUGGCUUAAUAAGUCAGAUGUGAAAUCCCCGGGCUUAACCUGGGAACUGCAUCUGAUACUGUUAGGCUAGAGUAGGUGAGAGGGAGGUAGAAUUUCAGGUGUAGCGGUGAAAUGCGUAGAGAUCUGAAGGAAUACCGAUGGCGAAGGCAGCCUCCUGGCAUCAUACUGACACUGAGGUUCGAAAGCGUGGGUAGCAAACAGGAUUAGAUACCCUGGUAGUCCACGCCGUAAACGAUGUCUACUAGUCGUUGGGGAACUUGAUUCCUUAGUGACGCAGCUAACGCAAUAAGUAGACCGCCUGGGGAGUACGGCCGCAAGGUUAAAACUCAAAUGAAUUGACGGGGGCCCGCACAAGCGGUGGAGCAUGUGGUUUAAUUCGAUGCAACGCGAAGAACCUUACCUGGUCUUGACAUAUCUAGAAUCCUGCAGAGAUGCGGGAGUGCCUUCGGGAAUUAGAAUACAGGUGCUGCAUGGCUGUCGUCAGCUCGUGUCGUGAGAUGUUGGGUUAAGUCCCGCAACGAGCGCAACCCUUUUCCUUAGUUACCAGCGGUUUGGCCGGGGACUCUAAGGAUACUGCCAGUGACAAACUGGAGGAAGGCGGGGACGACGUCAAGUCAUCAUGGCCCUUACGACCAGGGCUACACACGUGCUACAAUGGUAGGUACAGAGGGCUGCUACACAGCGAUGUGAUGCGAAUCUCAAAAAGCCUAUCGUAGUCCAGAUUGGAGUCUGCAACUCGACUCCAUGAAGUCGGAAUCGCUAGUAAUCGCGGAUCAGAAUGCCGCAGUGAAUAC
rnacentral:rRNA from 1 species